rnacentral:rRNA from 1 species
GAUGAACGCUAGCGAUAGGCCUAACACAUGCAAGUCGAGGGGCAUCGGGGCGAGGAGCAAUCCUUGCCGCCGGCGACCGGCGCACGGGUGAGUAACGCGUAUGCGACCUGCCCGUUGCAGGGGGAUAAUCGGGAGAAAUCCCGUCUAAUACCGCGUAACGCCGCGGGGCUGCAUGGCCCUGCGGCCAAAGGAAGCGAUUCCGGCAACGGAUGGGCAUGCGUGACAUUAGCUAGUUGGCGGGGCAACGGCCCACCAAGGCGACGAUGUCUAGGGGUUCUGAGAGGAAGGUCCCCCACACUGGAACUGAGACACGGUCCAG